rnacentral:rRNA from 1 species
AGCGAACGCUGGCGGCAUGCUUUACACAUGCAAGUCGAACGGUAACAGGUUAAGCUGACGAGUGGCGAACGGGUGAGUAAUGCAUCGGAACGUGCCCGAUCGUGGGGGAUAACGCAGCGAAAGCUGCGCUAAUACCGCAUACGAUCUGAGGAUGAAAGCGGGGGACCGUAAGGCCUCGCGCGAUCGGAGCGGCCGAUGUCAGAUUAGGUAGUUGGUGGGGUAAAGGCUCACCAAGCCAACGAUCUGUAGCUGGUCUGAGAGGACGACCAGCCACACUGGGACUGAGACACGGCCCAGACUCCUACGGGAGGCAGCAGUGGGGAAUUUUGGACAAUGGGCGAAAGCCUGAUCCAGCAAUGCUGCGUGCAGGAAGAAGGCCUUCGGGUUGUAAACUGCUUUUGUACGGAGCGAAAAGGCUCUCUCUAAUACAGGGGGCUCAUGACGGUACCGUAGGAAUAAGCACCGGCUAACUACGUGCCAGCCGCCGCUGUAA